ACACGUGAGGGCGAUCUGGCUGCGACAGCUGUCACCCCACUGAUCGCCAGGGUUGAUUCGGCUGAUCUGGCUGGCUAGGCAGGUAUCCUCUUCCUCCCUCACCACUCCAUGUCUGUCCCUCCCAAAGCUGCAUGCUCCAUCCAUCGAAGAGGAAGGCCUUCACCGAACAGAGACAAACCGGUCUUCCAUUGAGGGUAUAAGAGUUCCUGCGCUCCUUUGCUAGAACCUCCAAACAAGCUCUCAAGGAUAAAAGGGGUACAAUUUCACACAGUUCCCACCACCAGAACUCU
rnacentral:snRNA from 1 species